GGGCCCUCCGGUCAGGUAAAGGGAACGGAUUACUUUUCCCCUCGAUGUUCGCGUGUCCCGGGCAGGCAGUUCCAGCCUCUGCGUGUGUCAUCGUGUAGUUUGUUUCUUCUGCCUGCCGUGUCUUUGCCCUUCCUCGGCUCUAAAUGUCCUCGCGUGUCUUUUGUGCUCGAGGAGCACGGCUUGUGCCUGAGGCGCCAUCCGUAGGGUAUCGAACGCCCAUCUUCAUCGGCACGCUGCCGAUCGGGUGCUUUUUAUUCUUGCGUUAUAAGCUUGAAGCGUGGGUAGGUCUUGGAAGUUUCCGGUCGGGAGUCUUUUGCGCAGCAUCGUCGCCGGCUGCGGCAUCAGCUCUGCUCCUUAGGCAUCCGUUUUCACGGACUGCGACAUCUCCCCUGCAUCCCUCAGUCCUAGGAUUCGGACUCCUACUUCUCAUCCACCGUCUCGGUUUUGACGAUGGAUGAGAUGCGCACCAAAGAGUGACGGAGGAGGUGAGCGGAGGGCUGUGAGAAGAUGGAGAGCCACAAGCAAAGUAGGAUUUGGCACCGGAGGCAGCUUGGGCGAGUGUGUUACAGGUGGCACACGAGCCUUGACGUGACAACUGGAAACAGCAGCGG